rnacentral:rRNA from 1 species
UACAGAGGGUGCGAGCGUUAAUCGGAAUUACUGGGCGUAAAGCGUGCGUAGACGGCUAUCUAAGUCGGGUGUGAAAGCCCCGGGCUCAACCUGGGAAUUGCAUUCGAGACUGAAUAGCUAGGGUACGGUAGAGGGAAGUGGAAUUUCCGGUGUAGCGGUGAAAUGCGUAGAUAUUCGCAAGAACACCAGUGGCGAAGGCGGCUCACUGGCCCGGUACUGACGCUGAGGCACGAAAGCGUGGGGAGCAAACAGG